rnacentral:rRNA from 1 species
AGCGAACGCUGGCGGCAGGCCUAACACAUGCAAGUCGAACGAACCUUUCGGGGUUAGUGGCGGACGGGUGAGUAACACGUGGUAACGUGCCUUUAGGUUCGGAAUAACUCAGGGAAACUUGUGCUAAUACCGAAUGUGCCCUUCGGGGGAAAGAUUAAUCGCCUUUAGAGCGGCCCGCGUCUGAUUAGCUAGUUGGUUGAGGUAAUGGCUCACCAAGGCGACGAUCAGUAGCUGGUCUGAGAGGAUGAUCAGCCACAUUGGGACUGAGACACGGCCCAAACUCCUACGGGAGGCAGCAGAGGGGAAUCUUGCGCAAUGGGCGAAAGCCUGACGCAGCCAUGCCGGGUGAAUGAUGAAGGUCUUAGGAUUGUAAAAUUCUUUCACCGGGGACGAUAAUGACGGUACCCGGAGAAGAAGCCCCGGCUAACUUCGUG